rfam:Bacillus sp. SA2-6 scf7180000001162, whole genome shotgun sequence.
CCAUUUAAAGAGUGCGUAAUAGCUCACUGGUCGAGUGACUCUGCGCCGAAAAUGUACCGGGGCUAAACGUAUCACCGAAGCUGUGGGUGGACAUCUUGCGAUGUCCGCGGUAGGAGAGCGUUCUAAGGGCGUUGAAGCCAGACCGUAAGGACUGGUGGAGCGCUUAGAAGUGAGAAUGCCGGUAUGAGUAGCGAAAGAUGGGUGAGAAUCCCAUCCACCGUAUGCCUAAGGUUUCCUGAGGAAGGCUCGUCCUCUCAGGGUUAGUCGGGACCUAAGCCGAGGCCGAAAGGCGUAGGCGAUGGACAACAGGUUGAUAUUCCUGUACCACCUCUUCAUCAUUUGAGCAAUGGGGGGACGCAGGAGGAUAGGGUAAGCGCGCUGCUGGAAUAGCGCGUCCAAGCAGUUAGGCUGGGAAAUAGGCAAAUCCGUUUCCCGUGAAGGCUGAGCUGUGACGGCCAGGGAAAUAUAGUACCGAAGUUCCUGAUUCCACACUGCCAAGAAAAGCCUCUAGCGAGAUGAAAGGUGCCCGUACCGCAAACCGACACAGGUAGGCGAGGAGAGAAUCCUAAGGUGAGCGAGAGAA